rnacentral:lncRNA from 1 species
CGACUAUACCAAUAUAUUUUUUGAGGGGCAUAAUAUACCAAUACUCACCUACUCAUUGCAGGAACUGACAUAAUUUUCUCACUCAUAACACUCAUCGUAUAUACGUGACGGUGACCCACUUUUAUUGGCCCAACUGAAGACGACAAACUAAAGCUCGUCAAAAUAUUGACGUACGGACUAAUAAGAAAACAAAUAUCUGCAACGAAAGCUUUGGUAUGAAGCGUCAAAUCGUCUGUCAGCGGUACUUGAUCCUAUAAUUACGUGUACCCGGAUACCAUCAUCAAUCUUAUGAGUAUACGCCGACUAGCAUGUAGUACAAUUCAAUUGAUCGAUGGAGAGGCGUGCACGGCCGAUACACCCAACAGAGCAGGAAUUAAUUGUCUGAAUUGCUUGCCAUUUCAGUCAAUCUGAUGGGGAAUGUAAGCUAGAAACUGUGUGCUAGCUAGUUGCUAACCUCUCGCGAGUACAAGUGCAGCACUCUGCGCUCUCUGCAUAUAUGUUGUUGGUUCUCUUCUCUUCUCAGUCAUGUCAUCAACCAGUACAAGUUUUUUUUUUUUGAAAGGAGGAUGAACCCCGGUGUCUACGCAGACAGUCACAUUUUAUUGAUUUAUUAGGAACACUGACAAAACUCGAUCAAACAAGUCAAAUGCAUCAAACUAUGCCUACAAGCCUAAUGAAAGGGGGGUCAUUAUCGGAGCCGCAUGUCCUGACCGCAAACCACCGCCUAACAUCUAAUUCGGAGACCACGAAAACACAACCGGUCUAGCAAAUCCUUCUCGUGUGCCGUCUGCUCACGCUCCAGAAUUAGCCGUCGUCGUCUUCCACCAACCAAUCUUCAGGUGAAUGAUCGAAGCAUUACAACAUGUUAGGCUUGGCAUUGAUGAAAAGGACCAGACCCCACCAUGCAGCACGUGUUCCAAAACGAUGCCCUGGAGAGGGAAAACGACACUGAAAGUGUCACCAUCGUCCGAUUCAGGACACCAAGAUCUAGGGUUUUCUCCUGAACAUCUGGGCGGGAAGCGGGAGAAUCACAAUGAUGACACCUUCAUAAGGACGCAUGCGGACGCAGCCGUCGUCAGCCCCGAUCGAAGUGGAGCCUCACCUCUAGAUUAGCACGAGGACAGGAGAGCAGCCGGAGUACGCUCGAGACGCACCACCGGACUUUGCAAGGUACCUGCAGGUAUACGUGUACAACAGCA